rnacentral:sRNA from 1 species
UCCCUGGCAUAUAUUUGACAUUUAUUUCUAGAGCAGGCACAGCAUAGACAGAAGCAGUGCAAGUGUGCCCAUGCUACCCCACCAGUGUGGCUCCACCUGCUCUGGAGACACCACAUCUAAUGGGGUUCCAAUGCCAAUGCAGCCCAGGGGCACUUGGCUAGG